UUCCCGUACGAUCACCGAAGUUAAGCAACGUCGAGCUUAGUCAGUACCCAGAUAGGUGACCGCUUGGGAAUACCAGAUG